GCCAGAUUGAUUAUUAGAAGGUAUUAGAAGGGCUCCUCUGGCAGAACCAGUUUUCAUCUACUCAACAACCUCUUACUCAUGGGUCUUUAUAUAACUUAGGUGAAAGUAUGUCCAUAGGGGAACAGAAAAGAAAGCUGAGAAAGAUGUGCCAGGAGACUUGUGGGAACUAAUCCAAGUGCAACACCUCCUUACCACAAAGGAAAAGGACAGGGAACUCCGGAGUUUCAACUACCAGAGACUGAAGGCAGGAGAGAAAAACUAAGACAAAUGACUUCAAAGCCUUUCUGAAAUGCCACAGAGGGUCAGGAUUACAAUCUGCCUAUUCUGAUUCUUCUACUAUGGGAAAAAAUCUUUUUCAGAAUUGGGCCUUUCUCUGUUGCCCAGGCUGGAGUGCAGUGAGGCAAUCUUGGCUCACCACAAUCUCUCCCUCCUGGAUUCAAGCAAUUCUCCUGCCUCAGCCUCCCGAGUAGCUGGGAUUACAGGCAUGCACCACUACACCCGGAUAAUUUUUGUAUUUUUAGUAGAGAUGGGGUUUUACCAUGUUGGCCAGGCUGGUCUUGAACUCCUGACCUCGUGAUCAGCCUGCCUCGGCCUCCUAAAGUGCUGGGAUUACAUGCAUGAGCCACUGUGCCCUGCCAACUUGUUAAAUUUUUAAUCAUUCUGCUCACCUUUUGCAACCUUACUGACUUUUGUGUCUACCUUAUCUAGCAGUGGCUGAAAUUUCCUUCUAUGAUUAUAGAUUUGUCUGUUAUUUCUUAUAGAUUUCUCAAUAUUGCUUGUAUUAUUAUUUUAAGUUAAUACCAUUAGGCAUAAAAAUUCAAAAUUGUUAUCGCUU
rnacentral:lncRNA from 1 species